rnacentral:rRNA from 1 species
GAUGAACGCUGGCGGCGUGCCUAAUACAUGCAAGUCGAGCGAACAGGCGAGGAGCUUGCUCCUCUGACGUUAGCGGCGGACGGGUGAGUAACACGUGGAUAACCUACCUAUAAGACUGGGAUAACUUCGGGAAACCGGAGCUAAUACCGGAUAAUAUAUUGAACCGCAUGGUUCACUAGUUAAAGACGGUUUUGCUGUCACUUAUAGACUGAUCCGCGCCGCAUUAGCUAGUUGGUAAGGUAACGGCUUACCAAGGCAACGAUGUGUAGCCGACCUGAGAGGGUGAUCGGCCACACUGGAACUGAGACACGGUCCAGACUCCUACGGGAGGCAGCAGUAGGGAAUCUUCCGCAAUGGGCGAAAGCUUGACGGAGCAACGCCGCGUGAGUGAUGAAGGUCUUCGGAUCGUAAAACUCUGUUAUUAGGGAAGAACAAAUGUGUAAGUAACUAUGCACGUCUUGACGGUACCUAAUCAGAAAGCCACGGCUAACUACGUG